GAUCCAUUACGAUCCUUGUUGGUCAAGUCACUAUUGAAUAAAGUGUUGAUGAAAAUGAAUGUCAAAAAAAGCGCACUUCCUCAAUGGAAAUCAGUUAAGUGCGCCCAACAAGAGGGUGGGGUCGAGUGUGGCUAUUACGUGAUGAAAUUCAUGCAUGACAUAUUCAAA